rnacentral:rRNA from 1 species
CCCUUAGAUGUCCUGGGCCGCACGCGUGCUACACUGAUGCAUACAGCGAGUACUUUCCAGCUCCGCGAGGCAGCUGGUAAUCAGCAAUAUGCAUCGUGCUGGGGAUAGAUCUUUGGAAUUAUAGAUCUUGAACGAGGAAUUCCCAGUAAGCGCAAGUCAUUAGCUUGCGCUGAUUAAGUCCCUGCCCUUUGUACACACCGCCCGUCGCUCCUACCGAUUUCGAGUGAUUCGGUGAACCUUUUGGACAGCGUCUGUCCUCGUGUCAGAUGCUGAAAGUCAAGUAAACCAUAUCACUUAGAGGAAGGAGAAGUCGUAACA